UGAGAGAACUCGGGUGAAGGAACUAGGCAAAAUGGUGCCGUAACUUCGGGAGAAGGCACGCUGAUAUGUAGGUGAAGCGACUUGCUCGUGGAGCUGAAAUCAGUCGAAGAUACCAGCUGGCUGCAACUGUUUAUUAAAAACACAGCACUGUGCAAACACGAAAGUGGACGUAUACGGUGUGACGCCUGCCCGGUGCCGGAAGGUUAAUUGAUGGGGUUAGCGCAAGCGAAGCUCUUGAUCGAAGCCCCGGUAAACGGCGGCCGUAACGAUAACGGUCCUAAGGUAGCGAAAUUCCUUGUCGGGUAAGUUCCGACCUGCACGAAUGGCGUAAUGAUGGCCAGGCUGUCUCCACCCGAGACUCAGUGAAAUUGGACUCGCUGUGAAGAUGCAGUGUACCCGCGGCAAGACGGAAAGACCCCGUGAACCUUUACUAUAGCUUGACACUGAACAUUGAGCCUUGAUGUGUAGGAUAGGUGGGAGGCUUAGAAGUGUGGACGCCAGUCUGCAUGGAGCCGACCUUGAAAUACCACCCUUUAAUGUUUGAUGUUCUAACGUUGACCCGUAAUCCGGGUUGCGGACAGUGUCUGGUGGGUAGUUUGACUGGGGCGGUCUCCUCCUAAAGAGUAACGGAGGAGCACGAAGGUUGGCUAAUCCUGGUCGGACAUCAGGAGGUUAGUGCAAUGGCAUAAGCCAGCUUGACUGCGAGCGUGACGGCGCGAGCAGGUGCGAAAGCAGGUCAUAGUGAUCCGGUGGUUCUGAAUGGAAGGGCCAUCGCUCAACGGAUAAAAGGUACUCCGGGGAUAACAGGCUGAUACCGCCCAAGAGUUCAUAUCGACGGCGGUGUUUGGCACCUCGAUGUCGGCUCAUCACAUCCUGGGGCUGAAGUAGGUCCCAAGGGUAUGGCUGUUCGCCAUUUAAAGUGGUACGCGAGCUGGGUUUAGAACGUCGUGAGACAGUUCGGUCCCUAUCUGCCGUGGGCGCUGGAGAACUGAGGGGGGCUGCUCCUAGUACGAGAGGACCGGAGUGGACGCAUCACUGGUGUUCGGGUUGUCAUGCCAAUGGCACUGCCCGGUAGCUAAAUGCGGAAGAGAUAAGUGCUGAAAGCAUCUAAGCACGAAACUUGCCCCGAGAUGAGUUCUCCCUGACCCUUUAAGGGUCCUGAAGGAACGCUGAAGACGACGACGUUGAUAGGCCGGGUGUGUAAGCGCAGCGAUGCGUUGAGCUAACCGGUACUAAUGAACCGUGAGGCUUAACCUA
rnacentral:rRNA from 1 species